GGGCCCGCACAAGCGGUGGAGUAUGUGGUUUAAUUCGAUGCAACGCGAAGAACCUUACCAGGGUUUGACAUCCUGCGAAUCUCUUGGAAACAGGAGAGUGCCUUCGGGAACGCAGUGACAGGUGGUGCAUGGCUGUCGUCAGCUCGUGUCGUGAGAUGUUCGGUUAAGUCCGGCAACGAGCGCAACCCUCGUUCCUAGUUGCCAGCGGGUAAUGCCGGGGACUCUAGGAAGACAAACCUCGUGUAGAGGUGGGAAGGUGGGGACGACGUCAAGUCAGUAUGGCCCUUACGACCAGGGCUGCACACGUGCUACAAUGCCCGGCACAAUGGGAUGCAAUAUCGCGAGAUUGAGCAAAUCCACAAAACCGGGCCCAGUUCGGAUUGGAGUCUGCAACUCGACUCCAUGAAGUUGGAAUCGCUAGUAAUGGC
rnacentral:rRNA from 1 species